AAAUUGUUUUACACUACUUUGCAUUGCAGAGACACCAUUCGCGUCACCUUGCAGAACUCCUUCCAUGGCUCCAACAUUUGAGAAGGAAUUGUGCUGACAGUCCAUUUCUUGUAAGUGGUGAGACAUCCUUGAACAAGGUGAAUGAGGUAAAACUACCGAAGGAUGUGAGCUAUUGAAAUGUAUAUUCUGUUUUAGUGUAUUUUGUUUGUUCAGUUCUGGUUUGCUUCAUGUGGGGUUCGAUAGGCUCGAAAGGGCUAUUAAUGCUCGUUGUAUCUGUUGCAGGGCUGUUGGUUCGUGAAUCUAUUUGUGUUGGCAAUUGGUUCAUACACCAUACAUAAAAGUAAAUAAAAAGAUCCUUAGGUUCUGCUUCAAAACCUAGUCGUCGUCGUGCCGGUUUCUGUUUUUCAGAUAUGGUAUGUUUUGUGUGGGGGGUUCGUAAGGCUCGAAAGGGCUGUUGAUGCUUGCUGUAUUUUUUAGGGGCUUAUGGUUCGUGAUAUUCUCCAUGUUGGCGGUAGAUUCAUACACCAUACUUAAAAAAAAUGAGUUUGAUUUUGUAAGGCUUGUUUCUGGUUCGAUUUACGGUUCUAUCAAUGAUUGCGACUUUGUACACAUCAACUUUUUUUGCAAAUUGGUCUUGGGCUCCGCGUUGGGCUUGCUGGUUUGUGCUUUGGUGUGUGUAUAUCCGCGACGCAUUUUGGUUUAUCACUGGAUUUUCGUCCGGUUGUUUAUCUUAUACCACUUUUGUUAAUCAUCGAUGUAUUACCCUUUUUAGGGUUGAUUUGUGGUUGCUGGGUUAGGUCUAUGUCCCCCAGCUUUUGUACUAUCUUUUUUUAUCUAUUAUAUUUCUUUGCUUAAAAAAAAAAAAAAAAAAAACAGUUACCUCUGUAUUUGGUCUUUGAUGUAUGGUACUUUGUCGUUAUGAAUUGUAGGUUGUAUAUUUUAAAGAUCUA